AGCGAACGCUGGCGGUAGGCCUAACACAUGCAAGUCGAACGAAGUCUUCGGACUUAGUGGCGGACGGGUGAGUAACACGUGGGAACGUGCCUUUAGGUUCGGAAUAACCCAGGGAAACUUGGAUUAAUACCGGAUACGUCCGUAAGGAGAAAGAUUUAUCGCCGAAGGAUCGGCCCGCGUCCGAUUAGCUUGUUGGUGGGGUAAUGGCCCACCAAGGCUACGAUCGGUAGCUGGUCUGAGAGGAUGAUCAGCCACACUGGGACUGAGACACGGCCCAAACUCCUACGGGAGGCAGCAGUGGGGAAUCUUGCGCAAUGGGCGAAAGCCUGACGCAGCCAUGCCGCGUGGAUGAUGAAGGUCUUAGGAUUGUAAAAUCCUUUCACCGGUGAAGAUAAUGACUGUAGCCGGAGAAGAAGCCCCGGCUAACUUCGUGCCAGCAGCCGCGGUAACAC
rnacentral:rRNA from 1 species